GCCGGAUCUGAUCUGAAAUUGAUACUUUGUAUUAUACAUAUAAAAUGAUAAAGUAAGUUUCCAAAUGAUACAACUAGUACAAAAGCAACAGUUACAUUAAAGUUUCAUUCCUUCCAACACAUUUUUAAACAGUUAUUACAGUAUGUAGGUUCUCCAAGGAAGGUCGACUGGAAGGAAGUACAGGGGAAGUUUUGAAUGUUACUAAAAAAUGAGGGAUAGUUGGAAAGGGCAGACAUAUCAUCUUGUGAUUAACCACCUAUAUACGGAUCACUCAGGACACUUAGUAUUCUUAAACGUUUGAUAGAGUGCCUUACACUCAGCAUGAUGAUAUCGUUCGUUAUGUUAUCAGAAUAUUGAUUACGGUCAAUGCAAAUGUUUAAGGGAACAGUUUUUUUGUAGUUUAUUAUUUAGAUGAUGAGCUUUCAGUAAUGUUUUUAUUCUGACUAAUUGGGGAAUACUAUAAUAGUAGUGUUUAUUCCAUAGUUUCACUUAAGUGCAUGUAUGACCACCUAAAAUCACAUAUGACAACACACAAAAAUGCAUAAAUCUGAAAUAUAUGAUUUUUUAUUAUUGAUAAUUUUGAAAAGGGUUUCCCUUUCGGGAUUUCGUUGAGUAGACGAUAAGUAAUGGAUUUGUGUAUCCCUGCAAGAGGAUAAAUUAUGAUGUGACCCAUUGGGUUCACAUUUAUAUGAAUACUGGUC
rnacentral:lncRNA from 1 species